rnacentral:rRNA from 1 species
GAUGAACGCUAGCGACAGGCCUAACACAUGCAAGUCGAGGGGCAGCACGAAUCAAGCUUGCUUGAUUUGGUGGCGACCGGCGCACGGGUGCGUAACAGGUGUGCAAUCUGUCCAUAAUCGGGGAAUAGCCCAGCGAAAGUUGGAUUAAUGCUCCAUGUGAGUUUUAGAGGCAUCUCUUUAACUUGAAACGUAAGGAUUAUGGGUGAGCACGCUUCUGAUUAGGUAGUUGGUGAGGUAACGGCUCACCAAGCCGACGAUCAGUAGGGGUUCUGAGAGGAAGGUCCCCCACAUUGGAACUGAGACACGGUCCAAACUCCUACGGGAGGCAGCAGUGAGGAAUAUUGGUCAAUGGACGGAAGUCUGAACCAGCCAAGUCGCGUGAAGGAUGAAGGUUCUAUGGAUUGUAAACUUCUUUUGUCUGAGGGUAAAACAGCGGACGUGUCCGUUCUUGCAAGUAUCAGACGAAUAAGCAUCGGCUAACUCCGUGCCAGCCGCCGCCGUAACAC